rnacentral:rRNA from 1 species
AGUCACUGACAUUAGAUACCCGCGUAGUCCAGGGUGUAAACGCUGCAGACUUGGUGUUGGAAGUCCUUUGGGGGCAUUCAGUGCCGGAGAGAAGUUGUUAAGUCUGCUACUUGGGGAGUACGUCCGCAAGGAUGAAACUUAAAGGAAUUGGCGGGGGAGCACCGCAACGGGAGGAGCGUGCGGUUUAAUUGGAUUCAACACCGUAAACUCACCAGGGAAGACUGUUACAUGAAAGCCGAGAUGAAGACUCUGCUAGAUUUUCAG